UACGAAGGGGGCUAGCGUUGCUCGGAAUCACUGGGCGUAAAGCGCACGUAGGCGGAUUGCUAAGUCAGGGGUGAAAUCCUGGAGCUCAACUCCAGAACUGCCUUUGAUACUGGCGAUCUUGAGUCCGGGAGAGGUGAGUGGAACUGCGAGUGUAGAGGUGAAAUUCGUAGAUAUUCGCAAGGACACCAGUGGCGAAGGCGGCUCACUGGCCCGGUACUGACGCUGAGGUGCGAAAGCGUGGGGAGCAAACAGG
rnacentral:rRNA from 1 species